rnacentral:lncRNA from 1 species
ACAGAGCUACAAGCUACAUGUCCCUGGCCCCUCUCCCUAGGAGCACAGAGUUCCAGUGAAGAACCUAAAGCACAAACACUGACAGCUGUAAGAUGAGGAAACAGAAGCUGGGAUAUGUGAGUAAACAUUUCCAAGGUCCUGCAGCUAAUCAAUGGUUGACAACUUCUUUCCUCUGCCUAUGUUGCCAUCCAUGUCAUGGUUUGUGUCAAGACUCUAGGAGAAGUCUACCAUCAGCACCACAGCUACUGUGCACAAAUCCAGAAUGCCAGACUGAAGUCAGAAGGAAAGGACCUGGCUUUUAAAAAUGGUGAAGGGAAAUGUUCUUAUCACCCAUUCCUGUCAGAGAUGAUGCAGCUCAUUGCUGAUGCUGAGAUCCAACGUCCAGUGCCUGAGUACCCCUGGAUUCUGAGCACUAGGGGCUGGACUGUGGAGACCAUCAGUUCAUAACAUCCUGUCCCUGCUCCCUGCUGUAGAUGACUGAGACCAGAAAGAAGAUUGGAAAAAUCUCCCAUGACCAAGGAAAAUUGUGAAAAAUAUUUCUGAUAUUUUGUCUAUGCAUUUUAUUUUUGAGGGUGUUUUUUAUAUUAGUGUGACUAUUUUGUAUUUCCUACCCUGUUGUAAACUUUUUAAAAAUUGCUCUUACAGUUAUUACUAAGUAUAUGAUUUAAAAUCCCUAAUUAGGGUUCUUAAACAAGGGAGAAGCACUCUCAUACCCCUAGAACAAGAUGAACAAAAGAAGGAGGAAAAAUCUUGACCUCCGUAAGAUCCAGGAUGGCACGUGCAAGGCACUGACACAGCAUCUGCCGGCAUCACUGACUCUCCUGGACCCCAGAAGCCCAGUUCCCCAGGCUCUGAAACCCUGCAGCAAUGAAAAGGAAGCACAGGCAAACCAUAAGGAAGAUAAUUUUUCUACUAAAAAAUAAAUAGAAAUGCAUCCUUAGAGGCAGGUUUCAUGAGGACACAGAGAAUCCGGUUUUGUGUGUGCCUGAUUUCGUUUUUCUGUCAAAGAGAUACAAAACAAUCAACUGAGUUAUCUUGAACUUACAAAGAUUAAAAAUAAUCAAUUCCUGUUACUAUUUUCAAUUUUUCCCCCAUUUUACUUCUUUAGGUAUGAAGAAAUGUAGCCUAUUAAAACCUGGAUUAAUAAAAACCUUUCAUUAACUUUUAGAA